AAGUCGUAACAAGGUUUCCGUAGGUGAACCUGCGGAAGGAUCAUUACCAAUAUAGCGAACCGAGCGUUAGCGAGGCUUCGCGAUCAAAUUUGUAUUUAAAACCCAACUCUUUAAAUUGUAUAUAUUAUUAUUGUAUUCUAAAUAAUAAAGAUCACUUUCAACAACGGAUCUCUUGGCUCUC
rnacentral:misc_RNA from 1 species